AUCUUUUGUUUAUCAGUUGUCUUUCGGAUGAUACAACCAAUUUUGCCGAGUACAAAGGUGACAGAACCAACGUUUACUUUUCAUUCGAUUCAUUCAGAUUCGUGGACGACGAAGUACUGGUUUAUGUGCACUGCAAGAUGUCUGUUUGCAACGCAACUGAUCCAGCGUGUAGUCGAGCGUGCAAUCAACGCAAUAAACGCGCCGCCUUCGAGUCCUACCAGAAUCAAAGACUGUCCCAAGGUCCAUUCUUAAUACGUCGAGAUGUAUCACGGGAUCACGCUUUUUCUGUAAAUGAUCCAAGCGUCUCAGGGAGCCAAUCGAAAAUGCCAAUCAUAGUGGUAUUCUUUUCUGUGAACUUUCUCUUCUUCGUAGGUUUCGCUGUGUAUAAGAGAAGUCGAACACCUAAAACGCGUUACGAGUGUCAGCAGCCUCUUCUUGAAUAAAAUUAUGCUACACGACAGUUUCAAGUUUUAGAGUGUGUGUAGUCAAUGUUGGUUAAUCAGACAUUAAACUUUUAAUUGCAGAAUUGAA